GCUCCAGUGGCUUAAUGGUUAGAGCGUCCGCCUCCGAUGCGGAAUGUUGUGGGUUCGAUCCCCGGUCGAGUC